GUCCCUUGUUCCCUAAGGUAGCUGAAAGCCCCUCAUCAGACUCUAAUGAGAACCGGAUCAGAGCCCAUGUGAAAGUCAGAAUUGAAAUGAAGUUAUAUAAAUACAGGGCUUCACACUUGGAGGUAUAGGACUGAAGAGUCCCUAAGUACUAGCCAUCUUCAGUGGUAGCUUGGGCCAUCACCUGUUAUCUGGCAGGGACACAGGGACCAUUUGACAGCUUAGAAACAUUUGAUAACAACAAUUUUGAGAACAGAUUGAAUUACACUGUUGAAAGAACAGUGAAAAUAGUGAAACCGGAAUUGAGAAUAUUUUAAAAAUGAACUAAUAUUUCACAGAAUGAAAAUAUAUGGCACUUCAAUCAGACUGAGAAGACUUUCCUAACAGCAUGGCUGAGAAGAGUGUGAGAUACUUUUCUUACAUACUUAUCUUAUAGAUUGAACCCGAUGAACUGUCGCUUACUGUAGCACUUACGAAAUAAAUAAAAAUGAAUGAAGACUUUACUUG